UGGGGAAUUUUGGACAAUGGGGGAAACCCUGAUCCAGCCAUCCCGCGUGUGCGAUGAAGGCCUUCGGGUUGUAAAGCACUUUUGGCAGGAAAGAAACGUCAUGGGUUAAUACCCCGUGAAACUGACGGUACCUGCAGAAUAAGCACCGGCUAACUACGUGCCAGCAGCCGCGGUAAUACGUAGGGUGCAAGCGUUAAUCGGAAUUACUGGGCGUAAAGCGUGCGCAGGCGGUUCGGAAAGAAAGAUGUGAAAUCCCAGAGCUCAACUUUGGAACUGCAUUUUUAACUACCGGGCUAGAGUGUGUCAGAGGGAGGUGGAAUUCCGCGUGUAGCAGUGAAAUGCGUAGAUAUGCGGAGGAACACCGAUGGCGAAGGCAGCCUCCUGGGUUAACACUGACGCUCAUGCACGAAAGCGUGGGGAGCAAACAGG
rnacentral:rRNA from 1 species